CAGAGCAGAAUGAAUGCGGAAAAUGCGGUAGACUUGGCCACAACUCACGUACAUGCAUUUGGACACUUAGUCAGGAUGGCGCAGUUCCACUUGCUGGACCCUCACUACGACGAGCACCACAGGGGCCGUCUCACCGCAGAGGGAGAGGUGUUGCCCGUUCUGCGGGUCCGGGCCCACGACUGGUUUCUGGAGGAGAUGAGGUACGAUGAGAGGUACACUCCUCUCCUACAGAGGGC